ensembl:lncRNA
GUUUCAUAAUCCCGCUACAACACGUUUAUCCCAUUCCUCCCUCCUCCAAAACGACUUUAAUCCCUUAUGAAGAAUAUAAAACAUUUACAAGUUACAAUAGUGUCUUUGGUAAAAACAUCACAGACGUCCACAUCUCCUCCUCCGACCAAUGUACCAUCUUAUUAAAACAGGGCAUUUAUGUGUUUGGUCACGAUGCUAAACUAACGUAGGCCAGCGUUAAAGCGACUAUAUCACACCAAACUGACUGUUGUAGCUUUAAUCGAUGUUAUAAUGUUGUUACGUCGUUAAAAACAGACCUGGAGUUCGGUUUAACGGCUCAUUUUUUACUUUAAUUCAGUGGAAAUUGGCAGUUCCAGGGCUGAAAUCAUCCAAAUGAUUCUAGAAAUGAAGCACUUCCUGUAUCGCCACUUGAUGACAUCACAAGGUGGAACAGAGUGUUUGCAGUGUGAGAGAAGAGCUCAGCCUAAAUAUGGAAAUAUGUAACAAAAAAACAAAAAAAAAACCCACAAGUCCAGGUCUGUUUGUGAAAAGGAAACAUCAGAACAGAUCAGACAAAAGUUCAAUGUGGCGCUUUAAAGUCAUUGUGUAACAUUUUGACGGAUUAAUAAUUUAUGAAACACUAAACUUGGCACCUGUCGUACAGUUGGAAACGUGACUAACGUGAAAAGCAGUUGUGUUUUUAGUAUGAAUUGACCCGAAAAUAAAAAAAAAAAACAAUUGAACUUAAAUGUUGGUGAAUAAAAAUUCUCCAGGUGAAGAAGAGUAACCAGGUGAGGGGGAGGGGCCAGGUGAGGGGGAGGGGCCAGGUGAGGGGGAGGGGCCAGAAGAGGAAGAGGGGGGCAGGUGAGGGGGAGGGGCCAGGUGAGGGGGAAGGGUCAGGUAAAGGGAGGGGCCAGGUAAAGAAAAUGGGCCAGGUGAGGAAGAGGGGCCAGGUGAGGAAGAGGGGGCAGAUGAGGGGGAGGGGCCAGGGGAGGAAGAGGGGGCAGAUGAGGGGGAGGGGCCAGGUAAAGAAAACGGGCCAAGCGAGGGGGAAGGGUCAGGUAAAGGGGAGGGGCCAGGUAAGAGGAGGGGAGUGGGGGAGGGGGGGUCAGGUAUCAAAUCUCCCAACUACUGGUAAAAAAAAAAAUUUAAAUAAAAAAAGUUACAGGCGGUAGCUUUAAGUAACACAAAGUGGCAUUAGCCUGUAGCAUUUGUUCACCGUGUUAUUUCUUAUAUUGAAUCAUAAACUUUUCAAACGCUGUGGCCUGUGGUGCAUCUGAAUUUCCCAAAAAAAAAGGAGCACAAUAAAGUUUGAUUUUCAUUUACAAGAACAACGUCAUUGGCAUUUAUCGAGCGCUAAAAAAAAAAAACGCUACAUGACACAAACACGGACGACCGCGGGACGACAGGAAGCGCUCCCGUCCUUUCAAAAUAAAAGCAUGUACAGCAGAAAAAUCACUUCAGGCACUUGUCAUAGUUUAAAGUCAAAACUCGAGCCCUUAUAUGGAAGAGGAGCGACGUCAACAGAGUAAAAAAAACAUCUGAGCCGUUUCACGUUUCAGAAAAGAAUUCACCAAGUUUUUACAAGAUACAAAAUAAAACGUUUUUCAAGCAUUUGUCAAAUCAAAAGUUUAGAUUUGUAAAUAUUUUCUGUAUUUUUGUUUGUUUUAAGAAUAUUGCGCUUGCGUCUGGUCUAUACUUAUAAUCUGGACGUUUUAAAUCACAAUAUUUAUCUAAAACGACUUAAAAAAAAAAAGCAACGAAUCCUCCUAAAUGUCUCUGAUUAAAAAAAUAAAACUGGAGAAGGAAGCGCGUGUGUCACAGCGGAGGUGAAAACGGGGAUUGAUUAGCAAAAUGGCGUCUUAAAAAUAAUCAAUUAAAAAUAACUCACGCUGAAAAUACAAGUUUGAGUGAGUAAAUCAUGAGAAUUAACUGUAAUGUUUGUUAAAAAGCUUCUAAAAGUCCAUUUUUCAGUGUAGAUCUGCGUUAAUGUAUUUAAAGCCCUUAGUUGCAUUCUCACAUUACACCACUAGGGGCUGUCCAUGUUACUGCUGUCGUGGAGAAUUAAAACAUCAGCCAGUUUUUUUAUUUAACAAAUGCACAAAUACGAAAAGAAAACCUUGUUGUAUCUUAUAAAACUCUGUAGAACUUUGUAAAAAACGUAAAAUAACUGAAACGUUAAAAUAAUAAUAAAAUGCUCUGUUAGCGUCACUACAGCUCCGUACAUAACGUGACAAAGACUCGUCCAGCUUAAUUAC